CUGUGUGUCGUCUGAGCAGUCGCGAGAAGAUUUCCCUCCAGGACUUGUCCAAGGAGCGCCGGCCUGGUGGGGCUGGGGGUCCCCCCAUCCAGGACGAGGAUGAGGGGGAAGAAGGUCCCACCGGUGAGGGGCCUGAAUCUGGACUCCUGGGUCUGAGGGAGGAGGGGUCGGGUUCUCUGAAUCUAGAGGCAACUGGCAUCUUCUGUGACCUGCCCGGUGUUCCCACAUCACAGAACCACCCCCUGCAGAACCCAGAACCCUCAAUGGCGUCUCCUCCCCCCCGCACCCCAGCCCUAAGAGUCCCGUGCUGCCUGAAGAGGCCCCCUUCUCCAGGCGCUUUGGCCUCCUGAAGACAGGGAGUUCUGGUGCCCUGGGUCCCCCGGAAAGGCGGACAGCGGGGGGAGCCCCAGGGGCUGGGCUGCAGCGCUCGGCUUCCUCCUCCUGGCUGGAAGGGACCUCCACUCAGGUGAGUGAGGGUUGGGCCGG
rnacentral:lncRNA from 1 species